AGCGCACGCAGGCGGUCUGUCAAGUCGGAUGUGAAAUCCCCGGGCUCAACCUAGGAACUGCAUUCGAAACUGGCAGGCUAGAGUCCUGUAGAGGGGGGUAGAAUUCCAGGUGUAGCGGUGAAAUGCGUAGAGAUCUGGAGGAAUACCGGUGGCGAAGGCGGCCCCCUGGACAAAGACUGACGCUCAGGUGCGAAAGCGUGGGGAGCAAACAGGAUUAGAUACCCUGGUAGUCCACGCCGUAAACGAUGUCGACUUGGAGGUUGUGCCCUUGAGGCGUGGCUUCCGGAGCUAACGCGUUAAGUAGACCGCCUGGGGAGUACGGCCGCAAGGUUAAAACUCAAAUGAAUUGACGGGGGCCCGCACAAGCGGUGGAGCAUGUGGUUUAAUUCGAUGCAACGCGAAGAACCUUACCUACUCUUGACAUCCAGAGAA
rnacentral:rRNA from 1 species